GGCGCCUGAUUGGUCCUGGCGGCACACCCAGGAGAACGGUGGCGGCGGCGGCCAUGGCCGCUGGUGGGCCCAGCCUGGCAGCAACGGGGACAGGCCGAGGAGCCGCGGCGCCGGGCCUGGCGAGGUCAUGCCCAGCACCGUGGAGGGCCAGCCCCACCAGGACAGACUCUGGAGGAUGUGGAGGCCCCCAGGGGGUGUGGCGGCCCUGGACCUCAGCCCGGAAGGACUCCAGGGGAGAGAGCGCCUCUGAGACAAAGACAUGUGUAGAAGCCAUUUUCUAGCCAUUGCAGCACAAGGACACAAACAGAGAACAACGAUGUGAGAAGGUGCCAGUGUGAUGCAGUGGUCAACAGGUGCUCCAAUCUCUCACCUCGUUUCCGCACAUUUGCAAGAUCAAGAGAAAGCCCCUCUAUUCGGUCCUGCAAGGAAAAGGUCUGGAAUAAGCCCUGUGAUAUUAAGCACCAGGGGAACACCACAUAGGAGGGGAUGGCAGUUUCCUGUGUUUCCUAAGCAGCCCAAGGAGGACAGGGGUUUCUUGGCAAGCCCAGGAGAAGUUGCAUCCCCUAAGAAUACAUUACUGUCAGACUGGGACAGAUCAGGGAUCCAUUUGUCUCCACAUUCCCAAGGUGGUGUGUACUCAGAUUUUUUUUUUGCUUGUUUUCAAUAAACAAUAAAUAAACUA